GCUAUUGAAAAAGGGAGUUGGGUUGGGUAAAUAAAUAUAAACCUCUCAAAACCUAAAUAGUAAAUAAUGACCCACCAAGUUUAACCAACAAAAACGACCCCACCUCAUGUCCAAGUCAUCAUUCUCGAAUACCUAAUUAAGAAUAACGUGCCAUUCAACUUGAAGCACAAACAUAGGAUAUUCUUUCAAAUUGCAAAUUUUAUAUGCUAAUGUUAUAGAGUGGGGUUGGAGUUUAAAAUUUAAAUACCACCUUCUUCAAAGUUUAUAGCUAAUAUAUCAUAUUUUGAGUUUAGGUAUUUAUGGUAAAGGUCAAUCAGCCAACUAGUAAUUAAUAAAGUUUAGUUUCAUUAUAAGGAAAAUUAGGUUCACAUUCUUCUUUUUAUUACUCCAUUGAUUAAAAUUCUAUUCAUUUUUAAUU
rnacentral:lncRNA from 1 species